rnacentral:rRNA from 1 species
CCUACGGGGGGCAGCAGUGGGGGAUAUUGCACAAUGGGGGAAACCCUGAUGCAGCGACGCCGCGUGAGUGAAGAAGUAUUUCGGUAUGUAAAGCUCUAUCGGCAGGGAAGAAAAAGCGCGCGAGCGCCCUUGACAGUACCUGACUAAGAAGCCCCGGCUAACUACGUGCCAGCAGCCGCGGUAAUACGUAGGGGGCAAGCGUUAUCCGGAUUUACUGGGUGUAAAGGGAGCGUAGGCGGCCAUGCAAGUCAGAAGUGAAAACCCGGGGCUCAACCCUGGGAGUGCUUUUGAAACUGUGCGGCUAGAGUGUCGGAGGGGUAAGUGGAAUUCCUAGUGUAGCGGUGAAAUGCGUAGAUAUUAGGAGGAACACCAGUGGCGAAGGCGGCUUACUGGACGAUGACUGACGCUGAGGCUCGAAAGCGUGGGGAGCAAACAGGAU